GUGCUUCUCUAACAGAUCAUGGUAAGCUGAGGAGAAUCCCUUGUUCAGUUUUCUGUCUGUGUUUAAAGUCUUCUCUCUUCUUUGCACGGAACUCCAGUCGUUUCAGGAUGAGGUCUUUACUUUGCUGGAUGCAUUCAUUAGUGAAAUGUGCCAGUUGUUCCCAGAAGGCCUUGUGAAGGUCUGUUAGAAGUUCUUCUUUUUGUCGAACUGAGAGUUUAUUCUUUACAGUUAAAUGGUCCAGAAUAUUUGAUAGCACAUUCAAUCUACACCUGCACUCUUCUGGUAUACAGGAUUUCAGUGAAUCAACCACUUUUACCAUAAGCUCCCAGUUAAAUAACCUUUCCUGAAUGUCCAUUGCCUGCAAAUCCUGAGAUUCAUUUAAUAAGCCUUCCACUGCAAUCAUCCUCUCAGUCAG
rnacentral:lncRNA from 1 species